rnacentral:tRNA from 2 species
ACUAUUUUGACAGAUAAAUGUGUUGAUUUUAGAAAUCAUUUAUAUAUAAUUAUAUUAUAUAUAUAGUA